rnacentral:rRNA from 1 species
AAACCUUUACACUGCACGACAGUGCGAUAGGGGAUCCCAAGUGCACAGGCAUAGCGCCUGUGCUUUUCGGUACCGUAAGGUGGUACCAGAAUAAGGGCUGGGCAAGACCGGUGCCAGCCGCCGCGGUAAUACCGGCAGCCCAAGUGAUGGCCGAUCUUAUUGGGCCUAAAGCGUCCGUAGCUGGCCGCGCAAGUCCAUCGGGAAAUCCACCUGCUCAACAGGUGGGCGCCCGGUAGAAACUGCGUGGCUUGGGACCGGAAGGCGCGACGGGUACGUCCGGGGUAGGAGUGAAAUCCCGUAAUCCUGGACGGACCGCCGAUGGCGAAAGCACGUCGCGAGGACGGAUCCGACAGUGAGGGACGAAAGCCAGGGUCUCGAACCGGAUUAGAUACCCGGGUAGUCCUGGCCGUAAACAAUGUCUGCUAGGUGUGGCUCCCACUACGAGUGGGUGCUGUGCCGUAGGGAAGCCGCUAAGCAGACCGCCUGGGAAGUACGUCCGCAAGGAUGAAACUUAAAGGAAUUGGCGGGGGAGCACUACAACCGGAGGAGCCUGCGGUUUAAUUGGACUCAACGCCGGACAU